UACGUAGGCACCAAGCGUUGUCCGGAUUCAUUGGGCGUAAAGCGCGUGUAGGCGGUCCGGUAAGUCCGCUGUGAAAGUCGAGGGCUCAACCCUCGAAUGCCGGUGGAUACUGUCGGGCUUGAGUACGGGAGAGGCGAGUGGAAUUCCUGGUGUAGCGGUGAAAUGCGCAGAUAUCAGGAGGAACACCGAUUGCGAAGGCAGCUCGCUGGAACGGUACUGACGCUGAGGCGCGAAAGCGUGGGGAGCAAACAGG
rnacentral:rRNA from 1 species